rnacentral:tRNA from 1 species
CCUGGUGGCUCAGAGGGUAAAGCGUCUGCCUGCAAUGCGGGAGACCUGGGUUCGAUCCCUGGGUCAGGA